rnacentral:tRNA from 1 species
ACACAGGCCCUUAAACACA